UACGAAAGGUGCAAGCGUUACUCGGAAUUACUGGGCGUAAAGCGCACGUAGGCGGAUAUUUAAGUCAGGGGUGAAAUCCCAGAGCUCAACUCUGGAACUGCCUUUGAUACUGGGUAUCUUGAGUAUGGGAGAGGUGAGUGGAACUGCGAGUGUAGAGGUGAAAUUCGUAGAUAUUCGCAAGAACACCAGUGGCGAAGGCGGCUCACUGGCCCAUUACUGACGCUGAGGCACGAAAGCGUGGGGAGCAAACAGG
rnacentral:rRNA from 1 species